UGAGGAAUAUUGCACAAUGGGGGCAACCCUGAUGCAGCGACGCCGCGUGGGUGAUGAAGGUUUUCGGAUCGUAAAGCCCUUUUCUGCAUGACGAGCACAGGACGGUAGUGCAGGAAUAAGUGUCGGCUAACUACGUGCCAGCAGCCGCGGUAAAACGUAGGACACAAGCGUUAUCCGGAAUUACUGGGCGUAAAGGGCGUGCAGGCGGUUGCGUAAGUUAGGCGUGAAAGACUUCGGCUAAACCGGGGGAGGUCGUCUGAUACUGCGCAACUAGAGUAUGGUAGAGGCGUGUAGAAUUCCGGGUGUAGUGGUGAAAUGCGUAGAGAUCCGGAGGAAUACCAGUGGCGAAGGCGGCACGCUGGGCCAUAACUGACGCUAAGACGCGAAAGCAUGGGUAGUGAACGGGAUUAGAUACCCCCGUAGUCCCUGAGCGGGCUGGCAAGGCGCAU
rnacentral:rRNA from 1 species